AGAUAUUGCACAAAACCACAAGUAAUCAAUCACAGUGGAACACUCACAAUAAGGAGCUUACCUUGCAUCCAUAAAAUAGCCUGUAAUGAUAAUUACAAAUCAUUAUAGCAAAAUAACAAUAACAAAACCGUAUCACUCAUUCAUUCCCACAAACAGAGAGGGAAAAAGGAGGAGUGGGAUUAAGCACCAAGGAGGCUGAGCGAACUGGAAAUUAUUAAGGGGCACUGGCAAAUAAAAGGGUCUAGAUAUAAGAAAACAACAUUUGUG
rnacentral:misc_RNA from 1 species